UACGUAGGGGGCGAGCGUUGUCCGGAUUCAUUGGGCGUAAAGAGCUCGUAGGCGGCUUGGCAAGUCGGGUGUGAAAUCUCUGGGCUUGACUCAGAGAGGCCACUCGAUACUGCUAUGGCUAGAGUCCGGUAGGGGACCAUGGAAUUCCUGGUGUAGCGGUGAAAUGCGCAGAUAUCAGGAAGAACACCGGUGGCGAAGGCGGCUCUCUGGGCCUUACCUGACGCUGAGGAGCGAAAGCGUGGGUAGCGAACAGG
rnacentral:rRNA from 1 species